rnacentral:lncRNA from 1 species
AAAAAAGAAGAUGUGGUAUGAUUGCCAAUGAGACAACUAUCCACAAAAGACCAAAAUGACAUAGACAUUAACAACUAUAGGUCACCGUACGGCCUUCAACAAUGAGCAAAGCCCAUACCGUAUAGUCAGCUAUAAUAGGCCCCGAUAAGACAAUGUAAAACAAUUCGAACGAGAAAACUAACGGCCUUAUUUAUGUAAAAAAAUGAACGAAAAACAAAUAUGUAACACAUAAACAAACGACAACCACUGAAUUACAGGCUCCUGACUUGGGACAGGCACA